CACGUAGGGUGCGAGCGUUGUCCGGAAUUAUUGGGCGUAAAGAGCUCGUAGGCGGUGUGUCGCGUCGGCCGUGAAAACCUGCAGCUUAACUGUGGGCUUGCGGUCGAUACGGGCAUCACUGGAGUUCGGCAGGGGAGACUGGAAUUCCUGGUGUAGCGGUGAAAUGCGCAGAUAUCAGGAGGAACACCGGUGGCGAAGGCGGGUCUCUGGGCCGAUACUGACGCUGGAGGGAGCGAAAGCGUGGGGAGCGAACAGG
rnacentral:rRNA from 1 species